AAUCAACGCUGGCGGCGUGCCUCAGACAUGCAAGUCGAACGAUUAAAGCUCUCUUCGGAGAGUGUAUAGAGUGGCGCACGGGUGAGUAACACGUAAGUAAUCUACCUUUGAGUGGGGAAUAACAGUCGGAAACGACUGCUAAUACCGCAUAAUGCAGCGGCAUCGCAAGAUGACAGUUGUUAAAGGAGCAAUCCGCUUAAAGAGGAGCUUGCGGCAGAUUAGCUAGUUGGUAAGGUAAUGGCUUACCAAGGCUACGAUCUGUAUCCGGUCUAAGAGGACGGUCGGACACACUGACACUGAAUAACGGGUCAGACUCCUACGGGAGGCAGCAGUCGGGAAUUUUGGG
rnacentral:rRNA from 1 species